rnacentral:rRNA from 1 species
GGACGAACGCUGGCGGCGUGCUUCAUACAUGCAAGUCGAACGAGAAGCUCGACUUCGGUGAGUGGAAAGUGGCGGACGGGUGGGUAAUGUGUAGAGAAUCUGCCCUAGAGUGGGGAUAGCAGUUGGAAACGACUAUUAAUACCCAUAUGCGCGUAGCUGAGAUGCUAUUCGUGAAAACUCCGGUGCUCUAGGAUGAGUCUGCAUCUGAUUAGCUAGUUGGCGGUGUAAUGGACCACCAAGGCGACGAUCAGUAGCUGGUUUGAGAGGAUGAUCAGCCACAAUGGGACUGAGACACGGCCCAUACUCCUACGGGAGGCAGCAGUAGGGAAUUUUGCGCAAUGGGGGAAACCCUGAACCGCAGCAACGCCGCGUGAAUGAAGAAGCCCUUCGGGGUGUAAAGUUCUGUCAGUGGGGACGAAACUUGACGGUACCCACAGAGGAAGCAUCGGCUAACUCCGUGCCAGCAGCCGC